GGAAAUCAUGUCCAUAUUUUAUUCUUCGUUUGAGGUAGAGGUGAAUUACCUAUUCGGCACUAUCUAAUAAACAUUUCUGAGUAUCCCUUGACGGAGGGUAAAUUGCUUCUUGCUCACCCGCGCAAAACACGGGACACGCGUCUUCUUCUUUGCAGUUAUUACGUUCAUGCUCCCUAGCACGAUUUUCGAUAUUUUGUCGCCUUUUUGAUGAUGAUGACGAAUGGAUAAUUUCACUCCGAGGUCCAAUCGACAGUGAUCCAAGUAGACUGCACACAAUGCAAAAACGCAACCGUUGGCUGGUAAGAGGACACUCAACAUUGACUAUUAUAUGGAAUUAUUAGACCAUUUGAAAAACAAAAUCGCCAAGAAAUGCACGCAGUUAAAAAUUAAGAAAGUGUCCGUUUUAUUAAGAUAAUGCACCAUGUCACAAGUCAUUGAAAUCGAUGGCAAAAAUGCAUAAACUUGGCUUCGAUCUGGCACCCAACGACUAUUACCUGUUCUCAGAUUUCAAUACUGGCUGGGAAGAAAUUUUUGUCGAAUAAAGACGUAAUCGUCAAAACUGAGGUCUAUUAUGAA